CCUACGGGUCGCACCAGUGGGGAAUAUUGCACAAUGGGCGCAAGCCUGAUGCAGCCAUGCCGCGUGUGUGAAGAAGGCCUUCGGGUUGUAAAGCACUUUCAGCGGGGAGGAAGGCGUUAAGGUUAAUAACCGCAGCAAUUGACGUUACCCGCAGAAGAAGCACCGGCUAACUCCGUGCCAGCAGCCGCGGUAAUACGGAGGGUGCGAGCGUUAAUCGGAAUUACUGGGCGUAAAGCGCACGCAGGCGGUCUGUCAAGUCGAAUGUGAAAUCCCCGGGCUCAACCUGGGAACUGCAUUCGAAACUGGCAGGCUAGAGUCUUGUAGAGGGGGGUAUAAUUCCAGGUGUAGCGGUGAAAUGCGUAGAGAUCUGGAGGAAUACCGGUGGCGAAGGCGGCCCCCUGGACAAAGACUGACGCUCAGGUGCGAAAGCGUGGGGAGCAAACAGGAUUAGAUACCCGUGUAGUC
rnacentral:rRNA from 1 species